GACGAACGCUGGCGGCGUGCCUAAUACAUGCAAGUUGAGCGAUGAAGAUUGGUGCUUGCACCAAUUUGAAGAGCAGCGAACGGGUGAGUAACGCGUGGGGAAUCUGCCUUUGAGCGGGGGACAACAUUUGGAAACGAAUGCUAAUACCGCAUAAUAACUUUAAACAUAAGUUUUAAGUUUGAAAGAUGCAAUUACAUCACUCAAAGAUGAUCCCGCGUUGUAUUAGCUAGUUGGUGAGGUAAAGGCUCACCAAGGCGAUGAUACAUAGCCGACCUGAGAGGGUGAUCGGCCACAUUGGGACUGAGACACGGCCCAAACUCCUACGGGAGGCAGCAGUAGGGAAUCUUCGGCAAUGGACGAAAGUCUGACCGAGCAACGCCGCGUGAGUGAAGAAGGUUUUCGGAUCGUAAAACUCUGUUGGUAGAGAAGAACGUUGGUGAGAGUGGAAAGCUCAUCAAGUGACGGUAACUACCCAGAAAGGGACGGCUAACUACGU
rnacentral:rRNA from 1 species